rnacentral:misc_RNA from 1 species
GAUGAAGAACGUAGUGAAAUGCGAUAAGUAAUGUGAAUUGCAGAAUUCAGUGAAUCAUCGAAUCUUUGAACGCACAUUGCGCCCGCCAGUAUUCUGGCGGGCAUGCCUGUUCGAGCGUCAUUACAACCCUCAGGCCCCCGGGCCUGGCGUUGGGGAUCGGCAGAAGCCCCCUGUGGGCACACGCCGUCCCUCAAAUACAGUGGCGGUCCUGCCGCAGCUUCCAUUGCGUAGUAGCUAACACCUCGCAACUGGAGAGCGGCGCGGCCAUGCCGUAAAACACCCAACUUCUGAAUGUUGACCUCGAAUCAGGUAGGAAUACCCGCUGAACUUAAGCAUAUCAAUAAGCGGAGGA